UUCUUCUUUUUCAUUUUCUUUUGAGGCCGAGAUAUGGUCGGCCAAGUAAGAAAGAGGGACAGAGGGAGAAUUGUUGAGAGAAGAGAUGAGAGACCAGAGAGGGAGAGAGACCAAAACCCAGCAAGCACGAACCCACCGAACCCAGUAAUGCAGAAGACCCAGCCGGCCCAGACCCUGUUUGAACCCGAGACUCGACAAAUCCCAGCAAGCACAAAACCCCGAACACCUCAAACCCAAACCUGCCAAGCUCAACAAUGAAACCACGGCAAUCAGAAGCCGGGCAACCCAUCCAGCCGAGCAGUGAAGGCCGUGACCCUGUGAACAACCCAGUGAGACCCGGCGUGCCCAGCCGCAUCCUCUGAACCCGUGAACAAAUUUCCAGCGACCCCAGCCAUGACCCAGCCGAUCCUCCGGCGUGAACCACCGGACUCCGAUGAACCCAGCGAACCCGUGACCCCGAUCCAGCAAAUUCCGGCACCCAUCCAAAGCAGACCCAAUCAACCCGUUGUAGCCAGUGAAUCCAGAACAACCCGUGACCAGCAAACCGGACCCAACUCAGACUCGGCGAUGGCGCGUAGGGUCCAUCAAAACCGACAGGAACCGGUGGAUCCAGAACCGUGGGCGCCGAUGACCGUGAACCUGAUACUCAAGAACGAAAACUUGACCUUCGGAGAACAUGAUAUAGACGUAGAGAACCGUGAGCCAACAAGAAGACCCGAGCCCAGCAACCCGGAUCUGAUCCAGCCCGAUCCCAUCACAGCAACCCAGAAUACCCGAGAAUCAAUUUCCUUAAGCCAUCAGCCCAUACCACAGCCUGCAAACCAUAACCCAGUCGGCCCAUAACCCGUGACCCAGCAACCCAGAAUUUUCUUAAGCCCAAACCCGAAGCCCAUCAAACCAAGAAGCCCAUCAACCAUGAUCAACCCAGGACCCAUAACCCAUGAGCCCAGACCCGAGAUCCGACCCGGACCCAUACCCGUGACCCGAACCCGGAACCCAACCCGCCGGUGACCCAUCUCCGGCAGAACUCCGGCGAACUUUCCGGCGACUUUUCCGGCAACUUUCCGGCGACUUUCCGGUGACUUUUCCGGCGAUUUUUCCGUGACCGAACUCACCACUAGAUUUUCUAGUGAAAAUUCUUAGUUAAUAAACUAAGGAAAUAUACAAAGAGGAUUAAAGCUCGAUCCCGAUAUUAUGGGAAAUCCAAGUUAUGAACAGAGAGACGUAGGUGGCCGGGAUGGGAUCUAGGAAUGCAUUAGGACAUUUCAUUUAUAUUACCCAAAAUUUUCAGUUAUUGUAUCUUUUACAAUUAAAUGACCGUUUCCGCAUUUAUUAAAAACUCUGA